rnacentral:rRNA from 1 species
GGAUAACUACUGGAAACGGUAGCUAAUACCGCAUAACGUCGCAAGACCAAAGAGGGGGACCUUCGGGCCUCUUGCCAUCGGAUGUGCCCAGAUGGGAUUAGCUAGUAGGUGGGGUAACGGCUCACCUAGGCGACGAUCCCUAGCUGGCCUGAGGGGAUGACCAGCCACACUGGAACUGAGACACGGUCCAGACUCCUACGGGAGGCAGCAGUGGGGAAUAUUGCACAAUGGGCGCAAGCCUGAUGCAGCCAUGCCGCGUGUAUGAAGAAGGCCUUCGGGUUGUAAAGUACUUUCAGCGGGGAGGAAGGGAGUAAAGUUAAUACCUUUGCUCAUUGACGUUACCCGCAGAAGAAGCACCGGCUAACUCCGUGCCAGCAGCCGCGGUAAUACGGAGGGUGCAAGCGUUAAUCGGAAUUACUGGGCGUAAAGCGCACGCAGGCGGUUUGUUAAGUCAGAUGUGAAAUCCCCGGGCUCAACCUGGGAACUGCAUCUGAUACUGGCAAGCUUGAGUCUCGUAGAGGGGGGUAGAAUUCCAGGUGUAGCGGUGAAAUGCGUAGAGAUCUGGAGGAAUACCGGUGGCGAAGGCGGCCCCCUGGACGAAGACUGACGCUCAGGUGCGAAAGCGUGGGGAGCAAAAAGGAUUAGAUACCCUGGUAGUCCACGCCGUAAACGAUGUCGACUUGGAGGUUGUGCCCUUGAGGCGUGGCUUCCGGAG